ACUCCGGCUUGAGUGUUAAAUGGCCAGCAGGAAUUAUCCACUAGAGAAGCGGAAGGGAGAGAAUGGAAAUGGCCGCAUGCAGCUCCUCUCCCUCAGACAGCUCGGGGCUCAGCGGAAUGAGCACAGUCUGCAGGACAAGUGCGGAGGACUUCAGUCCCCUCUACUGUAUAUUGGCUUUAGGACUCAAGUUGUCCCUGAAAUAGAGGAAGGUGUUUUCUAGGGUAGUGGUAAUUAUCACAGUCAAAAAAGUAGGCGAGAGCACUUAGGAAAACUGUGCGGAGAUCGGCUGCUGAUGUGUAAAUACUGCUGAAGCUGCUUAUUCAAGAUUAGAAAACCUGAGACCCAGACGGGGGAAACUGCUUUCCAUGGUUAAUCGUCAACAACUGGCCAGGAUGGGACAGAAGCCCAUACAUAGCCUUCAUUCCAGGGCUCAGAACAAAAAGAAGGCAGUGGCCUGGGCUGCACCUGAGCUUGGCUUCACAUAGGAGGGAUUCUGGAACGCAGGAUCCUGACAACGACCUCAAGGCAGUGAACUCCAAAUUUGACCAAGACGCAGCCUUUGUCCUGUUAUUUUUAUAACCUCCAAGGGAGGACACGGCGCCUGUGGAGGUCAUCAUUUUGAUCA
rnacentral:lncRNA from 10 species